GGGCUGCACUAUUAGAAGAUCGUUGUGGGAUCACACCCCGAAUGACAAGUUAAGGAAACAGGCUGAUAGCAAUGGCAAUGAAAGUUCAAUUCCAGGACAGAAUUUUAUUGGCAAUAAGUUGGCAAAAUUUGUUGACAUGACGGAGAUGAGCAAGGGACCUCGAGAUCCUCCGGGUCAUUGGGUUGUCACAGGUGGAAAACUUGGUGUUGAUAAAGGGAAAAUUGUUUUGAGAUUGAAGUAUUCUUUGUUAAAUUAUUAGUUAGAAAGGGAGAGAUGGUGAAUUAUAUUGGUGUUCUUGUGUACUCAACUUUGUUUC
rnacentral:misc_RNA from 1 species